UCGCAGCGGCGUUGAAGGCUGGGUCCUCUGCAAUGCCGGGCCGUGAACCUGGUCAGGUCCGGAAGGAAGCAGCCAUAAGCGUGCUUUCGGCAUGUGCCGGAGGGCUGCCUGGCUGGAGCUUGCCCGUCGGGUCGGGCCCGUUGAAGCACAUCGAAGCGGAGCGCACGG
rnacentral:SRP_RNA from 1 species